AGUGAACGCUGGCGGUAGGCCUAACACAUGCAAGUCGAACGGCAGCACAGUAAGAGCUUGCUCUUACGGGUGGCGAGUGGCGGACGGGUGAGGAAUACAUCGGAAUCUACUUUUUCGUGGGGGAUAACGUAGGGAAACUUACGCUAAUACCGCAUACGACCUACGGGUGAAAGCAGGGGAACUUUGGACCUUGCGGGAUUGAAUGAGCCGAUGUCGGAGUAGCUGGUUGGCGGGGUAAAGGCCAACCAAGGCGACGAUCCGUAGCUGGUCUGAGAGGAUGAUCAGCCACACUGGAACUGAGACACGGUCCAGACUCCUACGGGAGGCAGCAGUGGGGAAUAUUGGACAAUGGGCGCAAGCCUGAUCCAGCCAUACCGCGUGGGUGAAGAAGGCCUUCGGGUUGUAAAGCCCUUUUGUUGGGAAAGAAAAGCAGCAGGUUAAUACCCCGCUGUUCUGACGGUACCCAAAGAAUAAGCACCGGCUAACUUCGUG
rnacentral:rRNA from 1 species